GAUGAACGCUGGCGGCGUGCCUAAUACAUGCAAGUCGAGCGAACGGACGAGAAGCUUGCUUCUCUGAUGUUAGCGGCGGACGGGUGAGUAACACGUGGAUAACCUACCUAUAAGACUGGGAUAACUUCGGGAAACCGGAGCUAGUACCGGAUAAUAUUUUGAACCGCAUGGUUCAAAAGUGAAAGACGGUCUUGCUGUCACUUAUAGAUGGAUCCGCGCUGCAUUAGCUAGUUGGUAAGGUAACGGCUUACCAAGGCAACGAUGCAUAGCCGACCUGAGGGGGUGAUCGGCCACACUGGAACUGAGACACGGUCCAGACUCCUACGGGAGGCAGCAGUAGGGAAUCUUCCGCAAUGGGCGAAAGCCUGACGGAGCAACGCCGCGUGAGUGAUGAAGGUCUUCGGAUCGUAAAACUCUGUUAUUAGGGAAGAACAUAUGUGUAAGUAACUGUGCACAUCUUGACGGUACCUAAUCAGAAAGCCACGGCUAACUACGUGCCAGCAGCCGCGGUAAUACGUAGGUGGCAAGCGUUAUCCGGAAUUAUUGGGCGUAAAGCGCGCGUAGGCGGUUUUUUAAGUCUGAUGUGAAAGCCCACGGCUCAACCGUGGAGGGUCAUUGGAAACUGGAAAACUUGAGUGCAGAAGAGGAAAGUGGAAUUCCAUGUGUAGCGGUGAAAUGCGCAGAGAUAUGGAGGAACACCAGUGGCGAAGGCGACUUUCUGGUCUGUAACUGACGCUGAUGUGCGAAAGCGUGGGGAUCAAACAGGAUUAGAUACCCUGGUAGUCCACGCCGUAAACGAUGAGUGCUAAGUGUUAGGGGGUUUCCGCCCCUUAGUGCUGCAGCUAACGCAUUAAGCACUCCGCCUGGGGAGUACGACCGCAAGGUUGAAACUCAAAGGAAUUGACGGGGACCCGCACAAGCGGUGGAGCAUGUGGUUUAAUUCGAAGCAACGCGAAGAACCUUACCAAAUCUUGACAUCCUUUGACAACUCUAGAGAUAGAGCUUUCCCCUUCGGGGGACAAAGUGACAGGUGGUGCAUGGUUGUCGUCAGCUCGUGUCGUGAGAUGUUGGGUUAAGUCCCGCAACGAGCGCAACCCUUAAGCUUAGUUGCCAUCAUUAAGUUGGGCACUCUAAGUUGACUGCCGGUGACAAACCGGAGGAAGGUGGGGAUGACGUCAAAUCAUCAUGCCCCUUAUGAUUUGGGCUACACACGUGCUACAAUGGACAAUACAAAGGGCAGCGAAACCGCGAGGUCAAGCAAAUCCCAUAAAGUUGUUCUCAGUUCGGAUUGUAGUCUGCAACUCGACUACAUGAAGCUGGAAUCGCUAGUAAUCGUAGAUCAGCAUGCUACGGUGAAUACGUUCCCGGGUCU
rnacentral:rRNA from 1 species